AUCAUUUUAAAAUGUAAAAUGUUCUCUUAUAUACAAAUAGUUAAAUACAAUACUUAAUAUAAAAGUAUGUCUGGUAGCCUAGGGCUAUUUAAUUAGUUAUUACCUAAUUUUACACAAAGGCAUAAUUUGCAACCCAUACAAACUUCUCAUUAAAAUAUUUGUUAACUAUCUGUACGACGUCAACCUAUUCGACAUAUAAGAGUAAUAGGCAACAGGAGAUUUUUUUUUGUUUGAAAUCGAAUUGCUAAAGAUUAAAUUAGAAAGACACAUAUUCAGAAUUGUCAUCUUUAAAAGUGCUUGCAAUUUGUCGAUUGCCAGCUAUGCGUUUAAUUCAAAUGCAAAUCUUCCUGGUACGUUUCAAACAAAGGCAUUUUAAAACACUAUUUUCAAAGGUAUUGUUUAUAAAUACGACGUCACAUAAUAGGUGAAACUUUGGCAAUGGUCGAGAACAUCAAAUCGACAGUAAACAGGUUCUGACCUAUUGAUUUCUUGAAUUCUAAAUAACCAUGAAAUCUAAAUAUCCAUUACUAGUAAUUCCGUCCAUCAGUCAAAAUUCACCCAUGAUACAACACGGGUUUGAUCCGGUAUUUUACAGUCUAUGGGUAGAACGCAGCGUGUUGUGGUAGGAGUGGCAAUCUUCGCGCAUGUCAAUAAAGACGAAGCAGGGAAAGUGGGUCUCUCUUUCUGGAAAAAGAACCGAUGAGGACGUGUGGUGCCUGUGUGCGUUCGCAGCAAGAUUCAGUAAAUGUAAAAUUCCUCGUUUAUGUGACAGAUUGUCUUUUGGAGUAGAUGGUGGAUAUGUACUGGUCUAUUGAGGCAUCAUGCCUUUUGGAUGGUGGAUGGUGCCGGAUGUAUAGCUGUGGUGUUGGCAUCAUGCCUUUUGGAUGGUGGAUGGUGUCGGAUGUAUAGCUGUGGUGUUGGUGAGUCCAAUAUUAGCUUUGCAAGUUAUAUAUUCAGCUGGUAUUGUGAUGACUUCACAUCUUUGCCGUUUACCCAUCUGACUAAAUUUGGAUGCUGAGACUGUGACUAACUGAACCAUUUAUAUAUUGACUGACUAGGACUACAUCCCAUUUGAUUUCUUCUUAACACAGUUCAUUUUCUGUUCUUAGGCAUCAUGCCUUUUGGAUGGUGGAUGGUGCCGGAUGUAUAGCUGUGGUGUUGGUGAGUCCAAUAUUAUUAGCUUUGCAAGUUAUAUAUUCAGCUGGUAUUGUGAUGACUUCACAUCUUUGCCGUUUACCCAUCUGACUAAAUCUGGAUGCUGAGACUGUGACUAACUGAACCAUCUAUAUAUUGACUGACUAGGACUACAUCCCAUUUGAUUUCUUCUUAACAGUUCAUUUUCUGUUCUUAGGCAUCAUGCCUUUUGGAUGGUGGAUGGUGCCGGAUGUAUAGCUGUGGUGUUGGUGAGUCCAAUAUUAUUAGCUUUGCAAGUUAUAUAUUCAGCUGGUAUUGUGAUGACUUCACAUCUUUGCCGUUUACCCAUCUGACUAAAUUUGGAUGCUGAGACUGUGACUAACUGAACCACCAGUGUUUUUCUACAAGCAAUACUUUAACCCCACGUGUGGACUGAUCACCAGUAUGAAUACCUUUUUCUCCUCCAGAUGGGUUGGCCCAGCAGGGUGGUGAUGACAUGGGCCGGAGGGGUCUCCUAUAGCACGGUGAGUUAUCAGACGGCGGUUAUCCAUUUUAGUGUUGCUCGUGUGGAGUGGUGAGUUAUCGUUUUUGCCGUUUACACAUCAGACCAUUAUUGGGGUGUUGAGAAUGUAACUUCUCCUUAGAUGCAGCAUCUAAGGAUUGUUUUUAACACAUCUGAUCAUGUUCUUUUUUAGAUUUGAUGGGCCAUGAUGUGGACCUGAAGAUUGAACCCCCCUGGGGGUGAGUGUCUGCCUGUGAACUGAAUGUUGACUUCAUCUUUGAUUUAUUGUAAGCGCAUGCAACUGGAGUUGUGAUGAGUUCUACAUUUUGCCGUUUACCCAUCUGACUAAAUCGGGAUGCUGAGACUGUGACUAACUGAACGACCAGUAUAAUCACUGACAUUCUAUGCCGCCAUCAAAUGACUGGCCACACUGAUGUACUGUACUUCUCUCCUAGACUGUACGUGGAGUAUGAAGAGCUAAGUCUGGAUCCUGUGGUGAGUGUGUCCUCUGGGUUCAAUGUAGCUAAUACAUGGUUUUAUUUGGGUCUGUUUUUUUUUUACUACUGGUAUUGCGGUCAUGUAUAUUGGCCCCAUUUGUCUAAACAGAGUAUGUUAGUUACACAAGUCAGGUUCACUGACGUGUUGUCUGACAUUCCUUCAGGUUGGUUUGUGAGUUGCAGUAAAUGCAUAUCUUGUUGGUGAGUUCUUUCCUGGUAUUGCAUGUUGAACUGGAUUGUUAAUGUUCAGUACUUGCUGGAACUGUGAUGUCUUCUGACACAUUUCUGCAGACUCACCCUGCUGUAAAGCCAUUCAUCUGAGAUUCCUGCAUUAUGAAAUGUGUAGAAUAUUUGUAAAAUAGUUCAAGGAAGUGAGUUGUCUUUUUGAGAAGCUUAACAUAGAUUUGACUAAACUUUUGGUGAGUUUGACUUCUGUUCACACUUUGCCCAAGCUUCUGAGAUGGAUAUAUCUAUUUUUUUUAAGGUGACUACAGACUGUCAAAAGUACUGCCUGGUUGAACUACUGGUUAAAUGUUACAUUUUAAUGUGAUUUUACCCUGUAUGAUGUAAAUGAUUAAAGUUGAUCUCACAGUUAAU
ensembl:lncRNA